UACGUAGGGUGCAAGCGUUGUCCGGAAUUACUGGGCGUAAAGAGCUCGUAGGCGGUUUGUCGCGUCGUCUGUGAAAACUCGAGGCUCAACCUCGAGCUUGCAGGCGAUACGGGCAGACUUGAGUACUGCAGGGGAGACUGGAAUUCCUGGUGUAGCGGUUAAAUGCGCAGAUAUCAGGAGGAACACCGGUCGCGAAGGCGGUUCUCUGGGCAUGUCCUGACGCUGAGGAGCGAAAGUGUGGGGAGCGAACAGG
rnacentral:rRNA from 1 species